UACGUAGGGGGCAAGCGUUGUCCGGAUUUAUUGGGCGUAAAGAGCGUGUAGGCGGCCAGGUAGGUCCGUUGUGAAAACUGGAGGCUUAACCUCCAGCUGUCGAUGGAAACCAUCUGGCUAGAGUCCGGAAGAGGAGAGUGGAAUUCCUGGUGUAGCGGUGAAAUGCGCAGAUAUCAGGAGGAACACCUGUGGCGAAAGCGGCUCACUGGACCACAACUGACGCUGAUGCGCGAAAGCUAGGGGAGCAAACAGG
rnacentral:rRNA from 1 species